CCUACGGGUGGCAGCAGUGAGGAAUAUUGGUCAAUGGGCGCGAGCCUGAACCAGCCAAGUAGCGUGAAGGAUGACUGCCCUAUGGGUUGUAAACUUCCUUUAUAUGGGAAUAAAACGUUCCACGUGUGGGAUUUUGUAUGUACCAUAUGAAUAAGGAUCGGCUAACUCCGUGCCAGCAGCCGCGGUAAUACGGAGGAUCCGAGCGUUAUCCGGAUUUAUUGGGUUUAAAGGGAGCGUAGGUGGAUUGUUAAGUCAGUUGUGAAAGUUUGCGGCUCAACCGUAAAAUUGCAGUUGAAACUGGCAGUCUUGAGUACAGUAGAGGUGGGCGGAAUUCGUGGUGUAGCGGUGAAAUGCUUAGAUAUCACGAAGAACUCCGAUUGCGAAGGCAGCUCACUGGACUGCAACUGACACUGAGGCUCGAAAGUGUGGGUAUCAAACAGGAUUAGAUACCCUGGUAGUC
rnacentral:rRNA from 1 species